rnacentral:rRNA from 1 species
GAUGAACGCUGGCGGCGUGCCUAAUACAUGCCAGUCGAGCGAACAGACGAGGAGCUUGCUCCUCUGACGUUAGCGGCGGACGGGUGAGUAACACGUGGAUAACCUACCUAUAAGACUGGGAUAACUUCGGGAAACCGGAGCUAAUACCGGAUAAUAUAUUGAACCGCAUGGUUCAAUAGUGAAAGACGGUUUUGCUGUCACUUAUAGAUGGAUCCGCGCCGCAUUAGCUAGUUGGUAAGGUAACGGCUUACCAAGGCGACGAUGCGUAGCCGACCUGAGAGGGUGAUCGGCCACACUGGAACUGAGACACGGUCCAGACUCCUACGGGAGGCAGCAGUAGGGAAUCUUCCGCAAUGGGCGAAAGCUUGACGGAGCACCGCCGCGUGAGUGAUGAAGGUCUUCGGAUCGUAAAACUCUGUUAUUAGGGAAGAACAAAUGUGUAAGUAACUAUGCACGUCUUGACGGUACCUAAUCAGAAAGCCACGGCUAACUACGUG